CUUUAAGAAGGUCUGUGAUCCAUUCCUCCUCACUGGGCGGGACCUCCCAACCAGGGCCUCCAGCCACCCCCACCAGUGUUCUCGGGCUGGCAGAGAUUUGAAUUCUCCCUGGCAUGGAGGUCUGGAGGUCCUGCUUAGUGAGGGACCUCCCUACCGUGGCUUCCAGCCACCCUCGCCAGUGUUCUGGGGCUGACAGAUAUUUGAAUUAUCUUUGGGAUGCGGUUCUUGGGGUCCCUUCCAGUGAGGGACCUCCCAACCGGGGCCUCCAGCCACCCCCACCAGUGUUCUGGGGCUGACAGAGAUUUGAAUUCUCUCUGGCAUGGAGGUCUCGGGGUCUGGCCCAGUGGGGGACCUCCCAACUGGGGCCUCCAGCCACCCCCACCAGUGUUCUGGGGCUGACAGAGAUUUGAGUUCUCCCUGGCAUGGAGGCCUGGAGGUCCAGCCCAAUGAGGGUCCUUUCAGCUGGGGCCUCCAGCCACCCACACCGGUGUUCUCAGGCUGACAGAGAUUUGAAUUCCUGGAAUGAGUUCCCACGCGCAAGAGCAAGGAGCCAUCUUUGCUGUUUGUGCAACUUAGUCGUUACAGCCCGCGGGCUCUGGAGAAUCCAUACCUACCGGGGCAGAAGGGAUAUAUCAUCAGCACAGCACAGCUACUCUACAAAAUCUUAGAAGGCAGAUUCUUUUACCAGGUUCCUGAUCCAUUCCUCCUUACUGGGCAGGACCUCGACAACUCCUUCCCGGGGAGAAUGUAAAUCUCUGUCAGCUCGAGAACACCGGUGGGGUGGUGGAGGCCCCAGGUGGGAGGUCCCACCCAGAGAGGAGGAAAGAAUCAGGGAUCUGUGUAAAGAAUCUGCCUGGCCACUAUUUGGUAGAGCAGUUGUGAUGUGCUGGGGGAUCCCUUCCACCCCCAGUCAUUUGGGACUCUCCAAAGCUGGCCCCAUCCUCUCCCCCAGGCCCCAGUUGGAAGGACUCCCACUGGGCAGGAACUCCAGAACUCCCUCCCAGGGAGAAUUCAAAUUCCUCUCAGCCCCAGACACCAGUGGGGUAGCUGGAGGCCCUGGUUGGGAGGAACAGAUUGGGAAUCCCCUUAAAGAUUCUGUCUGGGGCCGGCCACGGUGGCUCAUGCCUGUAAUCCCCAUACUUCGGGAGGCCCAGCAGGGUGGAUCACUUGAGGUCAGGA
rnacentral:lncRNA from 1 species